AUUGAACGCUGGCGGCAUGCCUAACACAUGCAAGUCGAACGAGUGGCGGACGGGUGAGUCAUGUCUGGAAAACUGCCUGAUGGCGGGGGAUAACUACUGGAAACGGUAGAUAAUACCGCAUACCAUCGAAUGUGCCCUGAUUGGAUUGGCGAGUAGGUGGGGUAAAGGCUCACCUCGGCGCCGAUCCCUAGCCGGUCUGAGAGGAUGACCGGCCAGACUGGAACGGAGACACGGUCCAGACUCCUACGGGAGGCAGAAGUGGGGAAUAUUGCACAAUGGGCGCAAGCCUGAUGUAGCCAGGCCGCGUGUGUGAAGAAGGUCUUCGGGUUGUAAAGUACUUUCAGCGGGGAGGCGUUACCCGAAGAAGAAGCACCGGCUAACUACGUGCCAGCCGCCGCGGUAAUAC
rnacentral:rRNA from 1 species